GACAGAGGGUGCAAACGUUGUUCGGAAUUACUGGGCGUAAAGCGCGUGUAGGCGGCCCUGCAAGUCGGAUGUGAAAUCCCACGGCUCAACCGUGGAAGUGCAUUCGAAACUGCAGGGCUAGAGUCCUGGAGAGGAAGGUGGAAUGCUUGGUGUAGAGGUGAAAUUCGUAGAUAUCAAGCGGAACACCAGUGGCGAAGGCGACUCACUGGCCCGAUACUGACGCUGAGGCGCGAAAGCGUGGGGAGCAAACAGG
rnacentral:rRNA from 1 species